rnacentral:rRNA from 1 species
ACAUCGCCUCCUGAGAAUUUUUAUAGGAGGUCCAGCCUGCCCAGUGACUGUGUUUAACGGCCUCGGUACCCUGACCGCGCGAAGGUAGCAUAAUAACUUGUUCUUUAAAUAAGGACUUGUAUCAACGGCAUCACGAGGGUUAUCCUGUCUCCUUUUUCUAAUCAGUGAACCUAACCUCUUCGUGAAGAGGCGAAGAUAUAAUUAUAAGACGAGAAGACCCCAUGGAGCUUAAAACAUAGAAACAAUUUCUUUGCUACAAGCCCUAAAAAAUAAGAAAGUCUGUUAACUAGUUUUCGGCUGGGGUGCCCAAGGAGAAAAAUAUAACCUCCCUGACGACCACUCUCCAAGAGUGACAACUCGAAGAAACAAUAAAUUGACGUAAAAUGACCCGACCUAAAUAGUCGAUCAACGAACCAAGUUACCCUGGGGAUAACAGCGCAAUCCAUUUCAAGAGCCCCUAUCGACAAAUGGGUUUACGACCUCGAUGUUGGAUCAGGGUAUCCUGGUGGUGCAGCAGCUACUAAAGGUUUGUUUGUUCAACAAUUAAAACCCUACG